UAAACACACUUUAACUUACCACAGUUGUGUUAAGCAGCUUCCACUGCUUAAGAUGCUCCUCAGUGGUCUCUGAAUUCUAGAGUGCAAACCCUAAUAUAGUUUCAUCCUGCACUGAAUAGGGCGAAACUAUGUAAACAAUAGCAUGUGGAGAAAUGACAGAGUAUGACUUCUAAGGCUAGAUCAAAAAGAUAUUGCAGCUUCUAACUUGUUCUGUCUUGCAUUGCUCCUCUGAGGAAAGCAAGCUGCCAUGCCCCAAGGACACUCAACACCUAUGGAGAGUUCACAUGAGAUCUCUGGCCAAGACCCAGUCACAUGAGGGAGCCAUCUUGGAAGCAGAUUCUCCAGCCCCUCUAAAGUGUCCAGACGACUGCAACCCCUUUCAACAUCUUGACUGCAACUUCAUGAGAGAUCUUGAGUCAGAACCACCCAACCAAGCCCAUCCUGAUGCACAGGAACUGUGUGAGGACAUUAAACAAGCCAACCCACUGUGAGCAGCUGUUGAAGAAGUUGUAUCUUAUGCCCAGUGGUGAAUGCUUCCUCUGAACCUAUACCACGGACAUGGGAGCAGGAUCCUGCCCUCAGAACGCUAGGCAAGUGGGAGAGAACUCCAGGUAAUAGUACCUUUUUUGCUGAUGCUAAGUUGAAGGUAUGGAGCCAGUGGCAUGGAGUCACCGAAUUUACCAACAAAGGUCAUUUUUAAUUGCUAUCUCCAGUGUCUCGGGACUGCAUCAUUGCUUUUCCAACGUGACUCAGCCUUGGUGUCGGCACUGACUCAUGGAGCUCCCGACAGAGGAGAAUUAGCGUCACAGAUUGACUGGGAAACCAAUCCACAUGAAGCCAAGAAGAGAAACGAGGCUGCAGUUGCUGCAUCCACAGCUGACCUUAAUGCUACAGGGGAUUUGUCAACUUCAGUCAACGAAUUUGGGGGAGCUGUGUUUCUGAAUCUAUCCUGGUCUAUCAUGUGUCACAUGUGAGUGUACGUGAGCCAAAGGGUGAGUACAAGUGAAUAUAAUUUUGUA